rnacentral:lncRNA from 1 species
UCUGCCGGUGCUGCUGCGCCCUGCGGAGCUCCGAACACGUGCGCAGAGGCUGGCUGUGGCAGAUGCAACUGCAGGAUGACUUGAAAGUAGGGCAUCCUUCACCCAUCUGAAGGGAGGAAAUAGUGGCAGGUGACAGUCUGCAUGUGCAGUUUUCAGAUGCCUUCACCUGAAUGACAUCUACCUCCAUCAGGACCCCAGAUGUCUGACAGCCCUGUGUGACACCAAGAUAAGUAACAAUCUGGCUGCUGACUACCCUAUUGGACAACUCCAAUAUUAGAGAACAUUUCCACCAAUUCAGAAAGUUUAUUAUGCACUGCUGUUCUAGAGCAGGGAUCAGCAAACUUGCUGUAAAGAGCCAGGAUCCCGUUGAAGAUACCACAUUACACUUAGGCUCCUGUUGGCCAUGACAGCUUCUUAGACUUGUUUUUAAUGACCUUGACAGUUUUGUUUUUUUGUUUGUUUGUUUUUGAGACGGAGUCUCUGUCAUCCAGGCUGGAGUGCAAUGUAAUGGCUCAAUCUCAGCUCACUGCAACCUCUGCCUCCCGGGUUCAAGUGAUUCUCCUGCCUCAGCCUCCCCAGUAGCUGGGAUUACAGGCAUGAGCCACCGUGCCCGGCUGCCUCCUAAAUUCUCAAAACAUUCCAUUUUUAUUCUGUGGUCUUACUUUAUUCUGUCAUGUAGAGAAUAGUGGUUGAGCCUGUUGUCUUUUGAGAGUGGAUGCUGUAGUCCUUACAUGGCUGACUUUCAGCCCGUAAGCUUAUAGUAGAGGAUGGGGAUUUUGUUAUCAGCUGCUAAAAGGGAGAAGCCAAGCCCAGAACUAAGGGUUCUGAUGAGUUGAAGGAGAGGGAAGAUGCCCCUCAAGGCAAA